UAAAAACCCCGACUUCGGAAGGGGUGUAUUUAUUAGAUACAAAACCAAUGCCCUUCGGGGCUCUUUGGUGAUUCAUGAUAACUAUACGAAUCGCACGGCCUUGCGCCGGCGAUGGUUCAUUCAAAUUUCUUCCCUAUCAACUUUCGAUGUUUGGGUAUUGGCCAACCAUGGUUGCGACGGGUAACGGAGGGUUAGGGCUCGACCCCGGAGAAGGAGCCUGAGAAACGGCUACUACAUCCAAGGAAGGCAGCAGGCGCGCAAAUUACCCAAUCCCGACUCGGGGAGGUAGUGACAAUAAAUACUGAUACAGGGCCCUUUCGGGCCUUGUAAUUGGAAUGAGUACAAUUUAAAUCCCUUAACGAGGAACAAUUGGAGGGCAAGUCUGGUGCCAGCAGCCGCGGUAAUUCCAGCUCCAAUAGCGUAUAUUAAAGUUGUUGUGGUUAAAAAGCUCGUAGUUGAACCUUGGGCCUGGCUGGCCGGUCCGCCUCACCGCGUGCACUGGUCCGGCCGGGCCUUUCCCUCUGUGGAACCCCAUACCCUUCACUGGGCGUGGCGGGGAAACAGGACAUUUACUUU
rnacentral:rRNA from 1 species